AUUGAACGCUGGCGGCAGGCCUAACACAUGCAAGUCGAGCGGAGCGGCAGACGGGUGCGUAAUGCUUAGGAAUCUGCCUGGUACUGGUGGAUAAGGUCCGGAACCGGGCACUAAUGCCGCAUACUAUCAGAUUAGCCUAGGUCGGAUUAGCUAGUUGGUGGGGUAAAGGCCUACCCAGGCGACGAUCCGUACCUGGUCUGAGAGGAGGAUCAGUCACACUGGAACUGAGACACGGUCCAGACUCCUACGGGAGGCAGCAGUGGGGAAUAUUGGACAAUGGGCGAAAGCCUGAUCCAGCCAUGCCGCGUGUGUGAAGAAGGUCUUCGGAUUGUAAAGCACUUUAAGUUGGGAGGCGUUACCAGCAGAAUAAGCACCGGCUAACUUCGUGCCAGCCGCCGCGGUAAUUC
rnacentral:rRNA from 1 species